UGUGGGCUGCGUCAGGGCCGCCCUGAGGGCGGCUUCGUGGGGACUCGGGCCCUGCCCCAGGCCUGGGCAGCGUGUGACCGCCCCCAAGUGCGGGAGGCUGCGUCUACACCCGCGCCAAGGACCCUGGAAGCCAGACACCAUGACCAGGAUGGGACAGGACUCGUGAACCCAAAUGUGAGAUCACACUAAGAUCCUAAAGGCUUUGCGCUUCUCUGGAGUGGCUGCUGUCUCAUGCACACCCGGCCUGGUGUGCUCACCCCACCCAGUGUGUCCGUCCUGCCCAGUGAGUGCCCCCCGCCUGGCCUGGACCCAGAGCCACACAGGGGCAUCCCCAGCACAUCCCGCCCCAGGAUUCCUCUUCCCUGAUUCACCUGAGCCCAGACAGCAGGUGGCAGACAUGUUCCUGCCCAGACCCGGACACCUCCACCUGCUCGGACCACUGGCUUCCCUCAGGCUUUGCCAUCAGAACAGACAGGUUCCACUCCUAGGAAAAAACCUAGGAGGUCAGGAGGUGAGAACUUCCAACCCACCUGGCUGAAGCUUCAGAGCCCACGUACCAUUUCUCUGCCUUUGCCUCCUCUUUUUCCGUUGAGGUAAUCAGCUGUUCCCUUCUCUCUGAGCCAUGGUGGGCAGCUCGUCUCCUGCAGACAUCACCCCCCAGAACUACCCCAGGCUCUGCAAGAUGCCACCCGGCAUCAGGACCUGUCAGGCCAGUGAGACAGGCGCUCCCUCUCGCAGCAGGGCCACACCCACCACGUGGGCUAAAGGCACAAAGUCUUCCUGCCAGGUGGGAGGGCACGACUGCAUGGGGCUGUCCGUCCUUCCAGAUCCUUAGAACGCUCACAGUCCUUAGGGUCCCAGGACCCACUUCUUCCUGCAGCUCUGGGUCACAGGAGCCCAGGUUCAGGGUGCAGACAAGGACCUAAAGUCCAGCCCCAGAUCCUAACCCUAACCCUAACCCUAACCUCCCCUGCAGCUCCUCUUUCUGGCCCUCUGCACGCAGGGAAGUGGUGGUCAGAGCAGGGGCACACGGGCGGGCUGGCAGCCGCCCUGUCCCCAUGCCCCCACUCCAGAUUUUCCCCUUCCCAUCCUUCCCAGAGGACCCAAGGGAGGACCAUGCCUUUAAAAAUUAUUUUUAAUUUUUUGGAUACAUAACAGUUGUACAUAUUUAUGAGGUGCGUGUGCUAUUGGGAUGCAUGCACAAUAACACCUAAUGAUCAAUUCAGGGAAACUCGAGCGUUGAUCAUUCCUUUCUAUCAGGAACAUCCCAGAUCCUCUCUUCUAGCUAUUAUGAAAUAAACGAUAAAUUAUUAACUAUAGUCACUCUACUGUGCCACCAAACAACAGGUCCUAUUUCUUCAGCCUGCAGCCCUUCAUCUCCCCCUUCCCUUCCCAGCCUCCGUGGCCACCAAUCUUCUGCAUGAGACUCACUCUCAGCUCCCACAGGAGGGAAGCGUGGGCUUCAUUCCAGUUCCAUUCACACUGCUGAGAAUGG